ensembl:rRNA 5S_rRNA 5S ribosomal RNA
CACCACAGCCAUAUGCUUUCUGCAGCCCGAAACCAGUUAGUCACGGAAGCUAACCAGGGCUGAGCCUUAUCAGUACCUGGAUGGGAGACCACAUGGGAAAACUAGAUUGCUGUUGGAA